rnacentral:ncRNA from 1 species
UUGGUUUUCCCAUUCUCCGCAACCGGAGGGGAAAUGAAAAGGGAAUCGGGUGCAAAUCCCGAACAGUCCCGCUGCUGUGAAGCUCCGCGACGUUCCGAACAUCUCAGCCACUGACCUGCACUAGGUCGGGAAGGCCUCGGAACAGGAGCGAGUCAGAAGACCUGCCAGAUCGAU